rnacentral:tRNA from 1 species
GCAGGUUUAGCUCAGUGGGUAGAGUGUUCCAUUGUCUGCGGUUCAAUUCCGUCAACCUGCACCA